GUAGAGGAUGCUUCUGGGCAGCGGCCGGUCUAAGUUCCUUGGAACAGGACGUCAUAGAGGGUGAGAAUCCCGUAUGCGACCGGUUGGCACCCGUCACGUAGCUCCUUCGACGAGUCGAGUUGUUUGGGAAUGCAGCUCUAAAUGGGUGGUAAAUUCCAUCUAAAGCUAAAUACCGGCUAGAGACCGAUAGCGCACAAGUAGAGUGAUCGAAAGAUGAAAAGCACUUUGGAAAGAGAGUUAAAAAGCACGUGAAAUUGUUGAAAGGGAAGCGCAUGCAACCAGACUUGUCGGCGGUGUUCCGCCGGUCUUCUGACCGGUCUACUCGCCGCCGGCAGGCCAGCAUCGUGUGGGCGCGCCGGACAAAGGCGCCGGGAAUGUGGCCCCUCGGGGUGUUAUAGCCCGGCGCACAAUACGGUGCCGCCCGCGCGAGGUCCGCGCUUCGGCUAGGAUGCUGGCGUAAUGGUUGUCUGCGGCCCGUCUUGAAACACGGACCAAGGAGUCUAACAUCUAUGCGAGUGUUCGGGUGUCAAACCCCUACGCGGAAUGAAAGUGAACGGAGGUGGGAACCCUCACGGGUGCACCAUCGACCGAUCCUGAUGUCUUCGGAUGGAUUUGAGUAAGAGCAUAGCUGUUGGGACCCGAAAGAUGGUGAACUAUGCCUGAAUAGGGU
rnacentral:rRNA from 1 species